rnacentral:lncRNA from 1 species
UGGAGGUAGUAGAGCUGGUGGUAGUGAUGGAGGUGAUGGAGGUGGCUGUGGUGGUGGUGGUGAUAGUGAUGGAGGUGAUGUUGGUAAUGAUGGUAUUGGUGGUGAUGAUGGAGGUGAUGGUGGAGGUAGAUAAUGGAGGUGGUAAUUGUGAUGGUGGUGGCGAUGGAGGUGGUAGUGGUGGUGAUGAUAAUGAUGGUAGCCAUGGAGGUGAUGGUGGUGGUAGAGAUGGUGGAGGUGGUGAUGGUGUUGGGAGUUUAUC